GGCAGUUUAGUUUAAUGGUAAAACACUUGACGCGUAAUCACAAGAGAUGUGAGUUCGAGUCUCAUGGCUUGGCCA
rnacentral:tRNA from 1 species